GCGCCCGUAGCUCAAUUGGAUAGAGCACCUGCCUUCUAAGCAGGGGGUUGUGGGUUCGAUUCCCGUCGGGCGCG
rnacentral:tRNA from 1 species